rnacentral:tRNA from 1 species
GCCUGGGUGGCUCAGUGGUUGAGAGCAUCCUUUCAGCCCAGGGUGUGAUCCUGGAGUACCAGGAUCGGAUCAUGAUCCUGGGGUCGUGGGAUCGAGUCCCACAUCGGGCU